rnacentral:tRNA from 2 species
GGGCUCGUGGUCUAGCCGGUCAUGACGUCGCCUUGACAUGGCGGAGGUCCUGAGUUCGAAUCUCAGCGGGCCCACCA